GAUGAACGCUGGCGGUCUGCUUAACACAUGCAAGUCGAACGAACUCUUCGGAGUGAGUGGCAGACGGGUGAGUAACGCGUGGGAACCUACCUUUAGGUACGGAACAACAGUUGGAAACGACUGCUAAUACCGUAUGUGCCCUAUGGGGGAAAGAUUUAUCGCCUAAGGAUGGGCCCGCGUUGGAUUAGCUAGUUGGUGAGGUAAUGGCUUACCAAGGCGACGAUCCAUAGCUGGUCUGAGAGGAUGAUCAGCCACACUGGGACUGAGACACGGCCCAGACUCCUACGGGAGGCAGCAGUGGGGAAUAUUGGACAAUGGGGGCAACCCUGAUCCAGCCAUGCCGCGUGAGUGAUGAAGGCCCUAGGGUUGUAAAGCU
rnacentral:rRNA from 1 species